rnacentral:lncRNA from 1 species
UCUGGACAUCAGGAAAGGACUGCCCCACUUCUUUCAGUCUAUCUCUGUGCAACUCUGGACCCAUGGCAUUAUUCCUGAGGUACUUCAGUAAAUGUCUGUUGUGACAUUGCAGUCCUGCCAGGCUUCUAGCACAUAAGGAUACAUACAGUACAUCUGACUCAAAGACUGGAGGAAACCUUUGCGAUUAGCUGGCGUGACAUCCUCCAGGACCUCCAUCUCGCCCCAGGACCUCCGUCUCGCCCCAGGACCUCCGUCUCGCCCCAGGA